CACACACACACACACACACACACAAACACAUAACCCAUAAAUAAUUGACUUCCUCUGUGUUUUGUGUUGCAGGUUGGAUUUAUACAAGAUAUGAAGUGUAUUCUCCACAAGGAAGGUACAGCCUCACAGCACAGCUCAGGAGUAUGAGAACUGCAAGACCCAGUCUGUGAAAAUCUUCCUGUUCAUCGAGCCCACCUUCAAAAAUUGCAGAAAUACCGAAAAAGUCCUCAAUCCACACCCUUUCAAGCAUGGUCUUCUGGGAUUUGUAGACAUCACAGCCACUAACAACACCAAUUCAAUUCAAGAUUACUUACAACAGCUCACUGGAGUGAGAAUAGUCCCUUGGGACUUUAUAGGUAAUCAAAGACUUCAUAGGCAGACACAGUGAUCUAAUCUCCCUAAAACAGAAUGGGGAGCUAAUGAUGUGGCCAAAGCAGAUUGUAGCUCUGCUGUUAUGAAAAGGGUGGCAGUAAACCCCAUGCUGACAGCAAACAUUCAGGCAUGCUGAAGGUCAGUGCAUCUGGGAGUUGAUGUGCAUCAUGGAGGAGGACAGUAUUUUCUUGUGACUUGGAUUUUCAAAAAAAAUGGCUUUUAUUCUAUUCCUCAGUGCUUAAAUUUGAUGCUGUUUGCUUGAAAACAUGAGGUAGGGAAGCUUAACAGAUCACACAGAUUUGAUUAUCCAUACUUCAUGUGCUGACAUGUUUCUACCUUUAAGCCCAUGUUUCACAAUCCAGUGCAUCUAAAUCUCCAGUGAAUCAAUUACUGUUUUUCUACCAUGCAGUUCUGCUGAUGUCAUUUUGCAGGAGUCCACUUCCUAAUGAUUAUUAAAACGAGGAAUAUUGUGAAGUUGUGUAUGAUCUACACACAGGCCUUUCACACUUCUGCAUCUCCAACUCUCAAAUGGUGUUCUCAAACUUUCCUUCCCACAAGCACAGAAGUCCACAAUGGUAUGAGGAUUCUGUCUGAAAAAUCAGGUGAAGAACUUUAGCAUAGUUGUUCCUCUGUGUAGCAAUAUUAAUGGCAGAGGAUGUGAUGAAUUCAACUCUGUUCACAAACUGGUUAAUUGCCAAGAAAAUCCCAAACAGUUGUGAGUUGAUUCUAGUCAGAGUCUCAGAAAAGUCAUAUAUGAAAUUCAAAAUUUCAGUGCUCUCCUUCAAAGACUGUCUAUGAAAGAAGUUGCUGGCAUAGCACUGUCCUAAACUAUUUAUUCCAUUCACACUUUUAUAUUUUUUAUAUUUUGCUUUGAUGUCUUGCAAUGAUGUUUAUUAAUCAUGGAAAUGCAUGUCUCUUCUCAGGUCUCCAAUGAGAAGGAUUCAUUCUUUAAAAAGAUGUAUGUGCAGGUGACUAAAAAAAUAAAAAUAAUAAUGAC